rnacentral:rRNA from 1 species
GACGAACGCUGGCGGCGUGCUUAACACAUGCAAGUCGAACGGAAAGGCCCCUUUGGGGGUCCUCGAGUGGCGAACGGGUGAGUAACACGUGCGUAACCUGCCCUUGACUUCGGGAUAACUUCAGGAAACUGGGGCUAAUACCGGAUAGGAAUCCUUGCUGCAUGGUGGGGGUUGGAAAGCUUCGGCGGUUUUGGAUGGACUCGCGGCUUAUCAGCUUGUUGGUGGGGUAGUGGCUUACCAAGGCUUUGACGGGUAGCCGGCCUGAGAGGGCGACCGGCCACAUUGGGACUGAGAUACGGCCCAGACUCCUACGGGAGGCAGAAGUGGGGAAGAUUGCACAAUGGGCGGAAGCCUGAUGCAGCAACGCCGCGUGCGGGAUGACGGCCUUCGGGUUGUAAACCGCUUUCAGCAGGGGCGAAGCUUGUGGUGACGGUACCUGCAGAAGAAGCACCGGCUAACUACGUG